rnacentral:rRNA from 1 species
AGGACAACGCUGGCGGCGUGCUUAACACAUGCAAGUCGAACGGACGAGUGAGAUAAGUUUACUUAACUCACAAGUUAGUGGCGGACGGGUGAGUAACACGUGGAUAAUCUACCUGCAACACCGGGAUAACGCUGUGAAAACGGUGCUAAUACCGGAUACGUUCCCUUGUGCGCAUGUAUGAGGGAAGAAAGCUCAGGCGGUUGCAGAUGAGUCCGCGGCUGAUUAGCUAGUUGGUGAGGUAAAGGCUCACCAAGGCGAUGAUCAGUAGCCGGCCUGAGAGGGUGAACGGCCACACUGGGACUGAGACACGGCCCAGACUCCUACGGGAGGCAGCAGUGGGGAAUCUUCCGCAAUGGGCGCAAGCCUGACGGAGCAACGCCGCGUGGGUGAAGAAGGCCUUCGGGUUGUAAAGCCCUGUCUUAUGGGAAGAAGUCAGUGACGGUACCAUAGGAGGAAGCCACGGCUAACUACGUG